AUUUUUACAAUGAAGAGUUUGAUCCUGGCUCAGGAUGAACGCUAGCUACAGGCUUAACACAUGCAAGUCGAGGGGCAGCAUGGUCUUAGCUUGCUAAGGCCGA
rnacentral:rRNA from 1 species